rnacentral:rRNA from 1 species
CCUACGGGAGGCAGCAGUGGGGAAUAUUGGGCAAUGGGCGCAAGCCUGACCCAGCAACGCCGCGUGAAGGAAGAAGGCUUUCGGGUUGUAAACUUCUUUUGUCAGGGACGAAGCAAGUGACGGUACCUGACGAAUAAGCCACGGCUAACUACGUGCCAGCAGCCGCGGUAAUACGUAGGUGGCAAGCGUUAUCCGGAUUUAUUGGGUUUAAAGGGCGUGUAGGCGGGAGCGCAAGUCAGAUGUGAAAACUCAGGGCUCAACCCUGAGCCUGCAUUUGAAACUGUGUUUCUUGAGUGCUGGAGAGGCAAUCGGAAUUCGGUGUGUAGCGGUGAAAUGCAUAGAUAUACCGAGGAACACCAGUGGCGAAGGCGGAUUGCUGGACAGUAACUGACGCUGAGGCGCGAAAGCGUGGGGAGCAAACAGGAUUAGAUACCCCUGUAGUC